UUUACAAUGGAGAGUUUGAUCCUGGCUCAGGAUGAACGCUAGCGGCAGGCUUAAUACAUGCAAGUCGAGGGG
rnacentral:rRNA from 1 species